AUUGAACGCUGGCGGCAUGCCUUACACAUGCAAGUCGAACGGUAACAGGUCUUCGGACGCUGACGAGUGGCGAACGGGUGAGUAAUACAUCGGCACGUGCCCAGUCGUGGGGGAUAACUACUCGAAAGAGUGGCUAAUACCGCAUACGAUCUGAGGAUGAAAGCGGGGGACCUUCGGGCCUCGCGCGAUGGGAGCGGCCGAUGGCAGAUUAGGUCGUUGGUGGGAGAAAAGCUUACCAAGCCGGCGAUCUGUAGCUGGUCUGAGAGGACGACCAGCCACACUGGGACUGAGACACGGCCCAGACUCCUACGGGAGGCAGCAGUGGGGAAUUUUGGACAAUGGGCGAAAGCCUGAUCCAGCAAUGCCGCGUGCAGGAUGAAGGCCUUCGGGUUGUAAACUGCUUUUGUACGGAACGAAAAAGCUUCCCCUAAUACGGGAGGCCCAUGACGGUACCGUAAGAAUAAGCACCGGCUAACUACGUGCCAGCAGCCGCGGUAAGAC
rnacentral:rRNA from 1 species